CAGAGACUUGGCUGUCAGCACUGCACCACUGGAGGGUUCCUUAUGCUUGCGAACCAGUUAGAUUCUAUACACAUAUGAAUCUUCCCCAUAUUCGAAUAUCUGAAUGUCAGACUCAAGCUGAUGAUAUAUGAGGUAUGGUCCCCGCUGUAUCAAUCAAGUCCCAUUGAAAUAUUAAAACGUUGUUCAUACAUCUUUGAAUGACCUUUUAUGUGCUGACAAUAUGUUCUGAAAUGAAGAGAUUUUACCCCUGAUGAAGUCUUGGAACAAGACGAAACGCGUUGGGUUAUUUAUCUAUCUAUUAUCUGAUGUUACCUCCGAAUCUACAAUAAGGAGAAGGAGGAAAUCGUAGUGAUAUAUCUACGCUUUUUCCUCAUCACUACAAACUGAUUGUUCAAAUUGUGCGACAAAUGUAAAUGUAUCAACUCUGUAUACUUAUGAACAUUUGUGUCGGGUUUAUAUGUUGUUUUAAUAAAUUUUUAUGUUAGUA